AGUUCCUGUGUUUUCCCUCCUUUGUCCUUUGUUCCGCAGCCCCCAGUCCCUGCAAUGCCUCCUCUCCCACUCUACCUCCCUUAACUGGCUGCCAUUUACUCACUUUAGAUUCAUCUUGACAGUUAUGACCUCUCCAGGAAUUUCUCUAUAAUCCCCUUAGACCAGAUGCUAAAGAUACAGAUGUGAACAAGAUCCACAUGUUCUACAUCCUUCAUGGAAUUUUCAUGGAAAUGAAAUGAGCCAUGAGGCCCUGUGGACCCUACUUGCAAUGGGCUAAUGGACUGCAGUGCGGACACAAGUUAAGCUGGAUGGAUGCUGGAUUGGGCGCGGCUCCAAUAUGGGAAGGAAACUCUCAACACGGACUCUGAUUUGAGCCCUACUGAAGCCCCAGCUACACAUCUUCUAUGACUGGAUGGAGGGAAAUGAGACUUUGGAAACCAGGGGUGUAAUUCCACAGAAAUAAA